UUUUAAGUUCUCUAUUAUGGAGAGUUUGAUCCUGGCUCAGGACGAACGCUGGCGGCGUGCCUAAUACAUGCAAGUC
rnacentral:rRNA from 2 species